UAUAAAAGCCCUUUUAUAAAGCCAUUUUUAAACAAAACCAAAAAGUUUACAAAAGAAAAUAAAAGAUACAGAAGAAUGAGUUGCUUAAUAUAUUCCAAAAAGGAGAAAAAAUAAAAGAGGGGACACAAUUCCAACAUGCUGAACAAUAAAGGGUUCGUUUUUUUUUUUUCCUCGUGGUUCUUUUUUUUAAUACAAAAUACAAGCGAAGGAUACACAUACUUAAAACAGAGCUCAGGAGCAGGUAUGCAGUCCCAGGAACCCUUUUUUCAAUCAAAGCAAAGCAGGGUUUUGUUAUUUUUUUUUUUUGUUUUGUUUUUCUUUCUUUGCAGGUACAUACAGAGACUGAGAGGAUGUCAAAUUAAUUAGCACAAAAGACCAUCACACGAUUUCUACCAAUGAAUGUUUGCGUCUAGAAAUUCACGAACAUGGUCGGCGGUCAUGUUCACUUCAACCCCUUAAAAAAAAAAAAACCCCGAACAAAAAAAAAAAAAAAAAAGUGUUGGUUUUGUUUUUAAUUUUAAUUUUAAAUAAAGCAUUAAUGUUACAUUCAGACUUAUAACUCCUAGUACCAUGCUAGAGCUCAGGGUUGUCAAGAGUUGCCAACCCCACGGCGCUGUUUGCAGCUGCCCCUUUUUCCUGCUUUUCAAACGAAACCAAAAAAAUUAAUAAUAAAAAUUCAAAAAGGACAGGGAGGGGAACUGCAAAGAGCCUGAUUUUUUUUUUUUUUUAUUUUAGUAUUUUUAUUUUCCAAAAGCUCACCAGGGGAUCGCAGAUACUCAAGACAAAAUAUUCCUUGCAUACCAGAAAACGCUGCCAGUCUCCUCCUCCACUGCUCACUCAGGGUUUGCUGUGACACGAUGGCAAACAACGACAACAAAAAAAAAAUUUACGUAGCUCUUAUUUACAAUUCAUCUUUUUUUCGUAACAAUUGCUUCUGCGGGAAGGGGAGGAGGGGGGAAAAAAAGAAGAAAAAAGAAAGAAAAAGCUCACGAAUGCUGAGAACACAAAGGGGACGGGGUGUCAGACGCUCCCGCUCGCGCACUCACACACCGAAGAUUUUGGGGUUUGUUUUUUUUUUUACACACAUUUAAGUCUGGCUUAAGCUGAUUUUAGGAUCUCCACCCACCCUCCCCGCCCCCCCCAAUCCCAAAAUAUAUAUAUAAAAAACCCUGGCCCCACUGUACAGAGCGUUCGCACACGGGCGCUUUGCAGUCACACUGAGCACGCUGGGCACGGCCGGGGCCACGCUGGAGCCCCAGCGACCCCCAGAGUUCCAUGGAAACACAUUCAGCUCCUCCAGAGGGAAGGCUGGGCUCGAUGCAGAGCUCGGGGAGGUGUCUGAAGGGCACGGGGGGCUCUCCCUGCUCUGCCGGGCUCCCCAAACCCCGCGGGGACAGGCAGGACAAGGCGCGAGCGCCGCUGCUGCUCCAGCGCUGAUCCGCCUCCCGAACUGCACUCCCAGCCACGCAGAACUGACCCUCCCCAGGGACAGGUGGGACAGCAAGCCCCCAAAUUCCCACAGCCUGAACGCCACCAGCUCCUCGGGAUGUCCCUGCCACGCUGCUCCGCGUCCUCCCCCCUCCAAGAGGUGAAUUCUCCAUCACCGCGUCCUCCCCCUCCAAGAGGUGAAUUCUCAUCCAACACCCAACUCCCGGGGCAGGCUGUGGCUUUCAGGAGCCGUGUAUCAACGCUAGGAUCUGGUAGAAAAAUAAAAGCUUCACGGAGAAAGGACAGGAAAGCAAAGCACCAGGUUUGGUUUGUUUUUCCUACAGCUCCAAAAGCUUCCAGCACGGUGCAGAGUCCUCCCCUGCCUCCCUCACCUGGCGGCCUCAGCGGCUCCUGGACCUUUGUGGCCAUCAGGGGAGGGAAUUAAAAAAAAAAAGGG